rnacentral:tRNA from 1 species
UGGGCCCACCAGGACUCGAACCUUGUAUCAACCUGUUAUGAUACUGUAGCUCUACCAUCUGAUCUAUGGGCCC